UACGGAGGGGGCUAGCGUUGCUCGGAAUUACUGGGCGUAAAGCGCACGUAGGCGGAUUGUUAAGUCGGGGGUGAAAUCCUGGAGCUCAACUCCAGAACUGCCUUCGAUACUGGCGAUCUCGAGUUCGGGAGAGGUGAGUGGAACUGCGAGUGUAGAGGUGAAAUUCGUAGAUAUUCGCAAGAACACCAGUGGCGAAGGCGGCUCACUGGCCCGAUACUGACGCUGAGGUGCGAAAGCGUGGGGAGCAAACAGG
rnacentral:rRNA from 1 species